rnacentral:lncRNA from 1 species
GAAGACAUCCUCAGGUUUAGCUCUAUAAUUCUGAUCUCUCUUAUUUUGAGUCUUUUUGUAAUAAUUCUUUUUAUUUAUUUAUUUGACCAUAACUUAACGUUAAUUUUAUGGUUCAUUGACAGUACCUCUCUGCCAAUGGAGGAUCCGCCGUCUGCGGUGGCGUAAUGGUGGCUGGCCACACCACUGAUACUGACCGCCAUCUUCCAAUUGAGGAUUUGCUGAUAUCCUUGUCAUCUACAAAGAAGAUGUCGCACAGGUAUGCAAACUUACUUUGAGUUACGUACUUCGGUUAAUUUGGUACAUCAUUGAUCUACCAUUACUGUUGUGUUAUUACCGUUUGAGAUUUUAACAGCAACUUUGGGCAUUUUUUUGAUAGAUGCUCCUUAAGACAUUUGAAGAGUUUUACCACUUUGAAUAUAGAUUUCAAAUGUGAAAGAAAUUUUUCUCAAACCUCUAUUCGUUCCUAAUGUUCAUAUCCAUUUAAUUGGAUUGGAGUUUUAUUCAGAAUAAAAUUCGAAUUUGAAGUAGAGAGGUGCAAUGGCCAAGUAAGGUAUAUGAGUCCAUUUUCUAGUGCUGAACUUAAGUCUUUGGGAUGAUUUAGCGCUGGAACAUAUGAUCAGCAAACUAUGCAUUCGUUGCACAUUGUUUUCAGAAAUCCUGUAGAAAAGUGGAAAAUGGAAAAGGAAGCUAUUUGGUAAUGUACCCUACUUGUUUCCCCUGCACAUGUAUUUAUCAAAGGGCACAGACAGUGCAAGAAGGGGAAGUUUUAUAGAGCUGUGGUUAGACCUGCCAUGUUGUAUAUGGCUAAGUGUUGGCCAGUGAAGAAUUUUCAUGUUCAGAGAGUGAAGGUUGCGGAGAUGAGGAUGCUUAGGUGGAUGUGCCGGCUCACCAGGUUAGAUAAGAUUAAGAAUGAAGUUAUUCGGGAGAAGGCGGGGGUGACCCCAGUGGAUGAGAAGAUGCGAGAAGCGAGACUCAGGUGGUUUGGGCAUGUGCGAAGGAGAAGUCCUGAUGUACCGAUGAGGAGCUGUAAGCGGCUGGCGGUGGUCGGCGCGAGUCGAGGCAGAGGGAGGCCAAAGAGGUAUUGGGGUGAGGCGAUUAUGCAGAAUAUCGCUAGAUUGCGGAUUUCCGAGGACAUGACCCUUGAUAGGAAAGUCUGGAGGUCUAGUAUCAGGGUUAUAGGAUAGGAACUUCUAGAAUUUCUUCGUACUUCUUCUCCGGGGCUGGGUGGGGUUUGGUGGAGCUCUCCAUAGUAGAUUUGUGUGUUGAAUUGUGCCCUUAUGGUACUUACUGUUCAAUAUUAUUGCAUGUUACCUUAUUUAUGCUUUCAUGUUUAGACAAUUAUGUUUAGAUAAUUAUGUUUAGUUAAUUAUUUAUGUGAUUUCUGCUGAAGACAUUAAUGCCCUUUUUUUUUCCUUUCCUUCCUAAGCCGAGGUUCAAUUGGAAAUAACCUCUCUGCCCUUUCGAGUAGGGGUAAGGUUUGUGAACAUAUUACCCUCCACAGACCCCAUCUCGUGGGAUUAUACUGGGUAGUUGUUGUUGUUGUUGUUGUUACAGAUAGUGCACGAAAAUUUCUACAAUAUCAGUUCAUUUAAAAGAUAAUUAAAAAUAACUAUUAAUUUUCUACACUAUCAGACUAUCAGUACAUUUGAUAUCUUUUACACUGUCGAAUGUACAUAAGUUAAAUUUUUUAUUGGAAGUGUGAAAAAGGAGAAGUUUUGUACUUCUUAAUGUUGAGUUGUCUCACGUCGGAGGGAUUUGGGGUCCUUAGUCUCCUUAUAUGGCUUGGGUAAUCCUCACCUCAUAAGCUAGCUUUUGGGGUUGAGUUAGGCUCAAGGUCCAUUCUUAUCAUAAUAUCAGAGCCAUUCACAUCCCAAUUAUUGUUACCGAUGUUGGGCCCCAUUUAUGUUGUCCAUGCUCCAGAGUUCUGGGCAUGAGGGGGAGUGUUGAGUUGUCCCACAUCGGAGGGAUUUUCCUUGGUCUCCUUAUAUGGCUUGGGCAAUCCUCACCUCAUAAGCUAGCUUUUGGGGUUGAAUUCUUAUCACUUAAUAUACCUAUAUAUACCUGCAACUAUAAAUCCAAGACAUUCUUCCAAAUUUUGAGACGAUGAAAGGAUGCGCAAAGCCCUUUUCAGAGAUAUUUUUUGGACUUACCUACUAAAUAAUGUGAAAUGCGAAGAGUUCAAUGAUAGCAGAUUUAUCUCUCCUCUCUUCUAGUGAUUUGAAAAUUGAUGUAGGUUUUCCUUAUCUGGUUUUUAGAAAUAUACAGUCACUUUCAAGUUUUCUGAGUAAAGUUCUUUCCAGUGAUAUUAUCGACGAACUUCUAGCAGUUGAGUAAUAGAGUGCGUCUCUGGUCCAUUUCUCCGAAGUAUUUAUGGAGUAAGAUUUCCUAAUACCUCUCACUACUAGUUCUUGAAGAUUGACCAACCAACAUUCUCACCAUUUUUCCACUGAUCAUAACGAAUGUAUUUAAGUGUUGUAGACUCAGAGAGUUUUCCGCUCUCAAAAAUAAUAGCUGGCAAAAUGUAUAUUUUAUUAAUGUAUAAUAUACAUACAAGACAAGAGGGGUUUGCUCUGAUGGUAAGCAACCCCCACUUCCAACCGAGAGGUUGUGAGUUCGAGUCUCCCCAAGAGCAAGGGAUGGAAGGAUGCUGGGUUUCUAUUUGGAAACAGCCUCUCUACCCUAGGGUAAGAGUAAGGUCUGCAUACACACUACCCUCCCCAGACCCCACUUAGUAGGAUUAACUGGGUUGUUGUAUAAUAUACAUACAAUAUACAUCUUUUAUACAUAUAUUUUGCAGAUUUGGCUAGCAAAUGUAAUUAUUAUUGGCCGACCAGCCAAAUAUGUAACUUGCACUAAAAUUAAUGUCUUAAGUUAAUGAAGUUAGUUAUCUUGAAGCAUACCGAACUGUAGUCUUUUGAUUCUGCUAAUGGAGGGUGGUAGUUCAGUCAUGUUAGUACCUGAUCUAAGAACUUGGAGAUUGACCAAAUUGCCUAUGGCAUCGGGUGGAAUAUAGUAUAUUGGAACUCAUUACAACAACAACAACAACAAUUCAGUAUAGUCCCACAAAGUGGGGUCUGGGGAGGGUAAUAUGUAGACGAGCUUUACCCCUACCCAAAAGGGCAGGGAGGCUGUUUCCAAUCGACCCUCGGCCCAGUGAAGGAAAGGGAAAAACAAAAACAAAAAUAAAAACAAAAGGGCAUUAGUAAGUCCAGCAGAAAUGGCGUAAAUAGUUAUCUAAACAUAAGAACCAUAAAUAAAUAAAUAAAAUAGCAUGCAAUAAUAUCAUACAUUAACUACCAUAAAUAACUACCAUAAGAAAGACACAAUCCAAAACACAGGUCAAAAGCAACUAGUGGAUCGAAGACACCCUUUAAUAAAUUUAUUGAUAUACUCUGUGCAAUGUCAUUUAAAAAGCAACUAGUUAAAUUGAAGAAUUGAGAAAUAUACCGUAAGCCUCUCUGGAGUACUUCAAUCUCAUGCUUCAGCAUGUUGAUCUCCCCUUUUGGAUCCGCUACCAUAAGGAAGACACAAUCCAAAACACAGAUCAUCUAUGGAUAGCCUUGCCAAGCCUCACCCAACCCACCCAGGGUGAGUAGUAGGAAAAACUCUAGUGGUCCCUAUCCUACAACCCUGACACUAGACCUCCAGACUUUCCUAUCAAGAGCCAUGUCCUCGGAAACCCGUAUACUAGCCAUGUCAUGCCUAAUCACCUCUCCCCAAUUGGACAUUUUUUNNNNNNNNNNNNNNNNNNNNNNNNNNNNNCCACCCCCACUUUCUCUCGAAUAACUUCAUUCUUAAUCUUAUCUAACCUGGUGAGCCCGCACAUCCACCUGAGCAUCCUCAUCUCCGCAACCUUCAUUAUGGAUGGCAACAUAACAGUUGAUUAAAACCACAGAAGAUCCUUUUUUGAGUACAUUGACCAUUUAUUUAAGCCCAUGACAUCCUAAAAAUGCGUUAUCUUGAUUUAUCUCUAUAAUUUUUAAGAUCAAAGAAAUUAAAUGACAUUUAACUGUCACAUACUGGAAUUUUGAUCCAGAGUAAAACAUGAUGGUUCAUUUUCUUAUUAUUUCCUUCUGAAAUAAUAAAUAUGAAUUAAAACUUCUUUACUAAUUCAAAUAAGCAGGACAUUCAACAAUCAUAUUCUUGCAUAAUAUAACAAUUGAAGAGUUCCUUUCAGAAACUCGAACCUAAAAUCUCAUAUUUAUUUAUAGUACUUAGUGUUAUUACAGCAACAAGCUGCGGGCAAAUUGUUUUUGUUUGUUUUCUGAAAACAAGUGUUCUGGUUUCUUUUCUAAACAUGUCUUGUUUUGGAACAAGUAAAUUAAAACUCUCAAAAUACAAAAUCAACAACAAUCCAAACACAAUACUCUUCAAACCAAUUCCAAACACUCACAAAAAGAAAACAAAAAAUAAAAUGCUGAAGGUUGGGCAAUCUCUCAUGAUGCGAAGGUCUUGAACUGCUUCUGUGCUUGCAAAAAAAGAUGCCGCAUCUGCCAUUUAAUUUCUCCUGUUUCACCUUAAUUGUGAGAAACAAUUUUAGUAAUUAGUAUUCGGGAAAAGGCAAAAACAAUUACCUAAAAAUGACCAUGACAGUAUCAAGUGACGGAAUAAUUUAUCACAAUAUAAAAUGGUUUGUAUCGUCAGUAUAUAUAACUUAAUUCCAACAGAAAUGUUAUGUAAAUAAAAGGUUACAACAGGUUAAACUACAUUAAUAAUAGAAAAGAAUCUUUAUACUGUCAGUAUAUAUAACUUAGUUCCAUUUGUAUGUACCUCUGCCAUUGUGAAAGAGGUCGAAAUUAAUAAGACAUCAUAUAUGCUUGAAAAGCUUCAUCCUAAACUAGUGACUCUGUAAUGUUCGCCAAACUCUUGAUCGAUGCCCUUCAACUUCUCCAGGAUAGCGAUAUCUUUCAUUCUCUGGGGAAUCUCCUUCAGCUUUGCACAAUCAUGGAUACCAAAACCUUUAAUGCGAGGCAUGGAACUUGUGGAUAAAUGCCAUCUUUCUAGCUUUUGAAGACCAUCAAGACGAAGAAAUUCUAGUUGAUAAAAGCUGUUAUUACUGCAGGUAAUUUCUUUUCCUUCAUAAGCUCCUACUAAAUCAAGAUCCCUCAGAUUUGGCAACAUCCCCAAAAUAGGCAUCGGAUCCUCUAUUAGUUCUGACUUCCAAAGGACCAUCAUUGUGAUGGAAUUUGGAAAAUGGCCCAAGAGAGGAAAUUUUUCUAUUCUCCCCUCUAACCACAAUUUGUCGAGCUUUUGAAUAGAACGAAGAUAUUCAAGGGUUGGGAAUGAUUCAUCAACUUUACAACGCAACAUGAGAGAGCUAAGGUUUUUCAAGCUGCCAAUGUUAUUUAGGGAGUAAGUAUUCACAAUAUCAUACAUGCCUAACUCUUGAAGAUUGACUAAAUCAACGGGAUCAACAUCUCUCCACUGAUCACAACAACUGUAUUUAAGAACUUGAAGACUUGUGAGUUUGCUAAGUUGCAGAGGUCUUGAAUACAACGCAACUAUAUGUCUUAGAUUUAUUAGGUUAGCUGUUUCUGGGGGUAGUUGACAUAAGUGUCUAUAGUCAUUCAAGACACGAAGUGUCUGUAAAUUUAUGAGGCGGCCAAUGGAGGAGGGAAGAUCACGGAUACCUCUCAAGCUUAAGAACUUGAGGUGGUACAAACUUCCUAUGGCAUCAGGUAGUAUAGCGCCAGAACCAAUCUCCAAGUAUAACACAUAUAUAUGUUGGAAGACAUCAUGAAACUUUAUAAGAUCCAUCUUAAAAAAAUCUCGAUCAAGGAACAUAAUUGACCUUAACUUCAAGUUAGAAAGAUCAAGUGAGAGGUACCUUUGUGCUUGACCAUGAAUGAUGUGUCUGACACAUAAGGAGGAUAUGGAAUGCUUUCUUGGAUCAUAAAUGUCAAAUAAUUUUACCUCCAAUGCCUUUUGCACGGCAAGAUCCCUAAGUAGAUCGUGCAUCUUGCAUCUAACAUCGGUUUUCCAACUUGUACUUACCACUUGAAUCAAGCUUCGUCUUAUUAGCUCAUUCAGGAAGCGCUCAGCUACAUCCUCUGUUUUUUCUUCUCCUUCUGGUAUGAAUCCUUCGGCCAUCCACGACCAGACUAUGUUGUCAACAUAGAUCAAAUGAUCUUCUGGAAAAAUACCAAAGUAAAGAAAACAUUGCUUGAGCGACGUUGACAAAUCGUUAUAGCUCAGUGAUAGUAUGUAGGAGAUUUCAAUAGAGUCAUCUUUCAUAUGCCGCCAAAGUUGUGCCUUCACCUUUUGCCAUUCUUGUAGCCCCCUUUUAUGCAAAAGUAGCCCGCUUAAUACAACAAUUGCAAGCGGUAAGCCUCCACACUUGUCCACCAUAUCUCUAGCUAACCUUCUCAUUGCUGGGACCAUUGCCUGAACAUCAAGUAGUUUCCUGCAAAAGAGGUCCCAACUCUCUUCUUUGCUAAGGAAGCGAAGUUUAUAGACAAAACCUUUAUCAUCUGCUCUUUUAGCAACAUCCUCUUUGCGUGUGGUAAUAAUAACUUUGCUGCCAUUCUUGCUAUCUGGGAAGGCUCUUUUCAAACUUUCCCAUGCCUCUUUCUGCCAUACAUCAUCAACCACCACAAGGUAUUUGCAUUCUCGCAAUAGGCCUCGAAGGUGAAUUUCUAGAUCCUCCUCUGUCAUCUUCUCCAAUAAAUCCAGACUUUCCUUUGUACGACCUUGGAUAGAUUUUAUGAUAUUCCUAAGGAGAUCCAUGGUGUUGUACUCUUGAGAAACACAUAUCCAAGUGCGUGUUUGGAAGCUAGAGACUAUAGUUGGAGAGUUGUAGAGGUUUCUUGCAAGAGUGGUCUUGCCUAACCCACCCAUACCAUAAAUGGAGAUGACACUUCGGCGAGGCUCUGCUUUGAGAAGUUCAGCUAGCAAGCUUUCUACAACAUCCCGAAAGCCAACAAAAAUAUAAUCGUCAUCUAUAUAGGAGGUAGUUCUCCUCAAUGUUCUAACCAUGACGGACUGAUUACUUGUUUCUCCUGCAUUAUUGAUGUCUCUAAUACCAUAUGUCUCCCGUUUGCGAGAGAUAUCCAUGACUCGCUUCUUGAGGGAUUGGAUCUCCUUGCUGAUGUUGUAGAAUUUGGUCUCCUUCUUACAUAUGCAAGCGCAAGCCUUAAGACAACUAGCAAAUCCAUGGUCACUACCUUUAUCAGACUCGAAGGUGUAAGUCUCAAGUAUAGCGACAGCGUCAUUAGCAAUAGAGUUGAUUUCAAACACCCAUUGUUGAACUCUUUUAUCUUCAUUUUGCUUUUGUUCUGCAUCUUUGAGGAAAGAUUGCAUGAAGAGCAGCUCAUUUCUCAGCCACUGCA